UGCGUCGUCGCAUUCCGCGCGUUAGACUAGUACGGCGCAAUUUACAGCAAAAUCCUACUCAUAUUACGAUAAAGUUAGAUAUACUGUUGCCCGCACUAUUUCGCAGUUUAUUCGUGUUAAGUGUAUGGUAAAUCUCAAAGUAAUCGCGUCAUAAACGCAGUCCUAGUUUUCUGGGCGUUUGAAAUCCGACACCGCUAUAACGUCUCCCCUCCGCGCGGAGGGAUACACUGGUGGAGCUGACAAUGUGGACGGUGCUAAAAUGUCUCCUCGGAAGAUGAGAUGUUACAUUUGUAGCGCUCAAAAGAAUUAGAAUAGAACUCUAGGCAGAGUUACAUUUGAGUGCGGUUACAUUGUAACAACUCUCGACGCGGACUGUUCGCGUUUCCCGGGAAACUGGACACGUUUUGCACCGUGAAUUAGCGGGACCUGAGACGCGGAGGGGUGGGGGGGAAAUUUUGUCCCCCAACUUUUCUGUUUUUCCUCUCGGGCUGAAGCGCGUUUCUCUCCCGCUGGAUGCCGCGCGCGUGACGCGAGAAACGGAUCAUAAACCUGUUUGAGCUGAGAGAGAGAAAGAGAGAGACGUCGAGUGAGAGAAGCAGAUCAAGAACACACAGGAUCAGGAUGGCGACGGCGGGGACUGACAUGGAGCUGAACGACCUGCUGGAUUUCAGUGUUAUGUUUCCUCAUCCAGUGUCAAACGGGAAGAACCGAGGCCCUACUUUACCCAGCAGUCAGUAUGGUUUAGAUGAAAGAAGUGGCUCCGGCUCUUGGGCUUCAGGAGAAGCGAACGGUCCCGCGUUCGGCGCACGGCUGUAUGGAGACGGUCCUCAGAGUCACUACCCUGAACACGACGGCAUGUACAACUUAGAGAUCGACGGGAAAUCUGAAAGAGGAUACCCCGUUACUCAGCCACAGCUCUUGCCCGCUGAUAUUAGCGAUGGUCUUUCUCCUCCGGGAAUGAAAGUCUCCUCUCAGUUCUACAGUCUUCACCGCCGGAGGGUCGCCGACUCCAGCUUAGAUCCACUGCCCAAGAAGAUCCGGAAGGUUCCUUCUGGCCUGCCGUCGUCGGUGUCUUCGGUUUAUCCCGGUUCCACCGGUGAGGACUAUAACCCUGACGGCUCCGGAUACCCCGGAUCCAAAGCUGCAAACCUUUAUCCAGGCUCUUUCUGGCCAGAUGGGCUUCCGGAUCAUUGGGGUCAGUCUGGUUAUCCUCCGGUCAUGAGUAACUCUCCUCACAUCGCCCAGCCGGCUCCGUUCCCCUCCAUAAACACACAGAAGCGGCAGCCUUUGCCCCUGUCGCCGCAGAAUUACCCUCUGCACGGGAGCGAGGUCAACUUACCCAGCAGCUUCCACCCGGCCUCGGCUGGAUACGGCGUUCCCAACCACACGCCGCCCAUCAGCGGCUCCGACAGCAUCAUGGUCAGCAGAGCUGGAAACGCAGGCAGCUCCGGGGCAGAGAUCGGGAAAGCGCUCGCUUCGAUAUAUCCCUCUGACAAUAACGGCAGCAGCUACUCCCCGAGUCCCUCCACUCCUGUGGGCUCUCCUUCAAAUGUUGCUGCUUCUGCAUCUCAGUGGCCCAAAGGCUCCUCUCAGCCCGCGCCGUCUCCCGGGUUCGAGCCCGGACUGCAGGCGCUGAGUAAGAUGGAUGACCGUCUGGGUGAAGCACUGCAAGUGUUGAGUCAUUAUGCGGUUGGUGCAGACAUGCAGAGUUUACUGAGCGCAGCUGGACAUUCGGCCGGUGCAGCGGCCCUGGGCUCCAUCAGUCAGGCCUUCGGGCUCUCCAGCCGUCUGCCAGGCCUGAUGUCAAAUCACAGUGAUGAUGCCGCAGGUUUACCACAGUCCAGUGCUCUGCUGCAGGGACACCACGCCCCCCAUCAGGCCCCGCCCACUUCCCAGUCUGACACUUUUACCAGUCUUUCUUUGCCUCACUCCUCUCACUCAUCCAGCUCGGAUAUAAAGCGGGAAGAUAAGGAAGAUGAUGAGAACCUGUCUAUUGCAGAUAAAUCAGAGGAUGAGAAGAAAGACGGGAAAAGCCGCACGCGAUCGAGCAAGAUGAUGAAGAAGAUGACGAGGACUUGCCGAUUGAGGUGAAGGCGGAGCGGGAGAAAGAGCGGCGCGUGGCCAAUAACGCCCGUGAGCGUUUGCGCGUUCGCGACAUCAACGAGGCCUUCAAAGAGCUGGGCCGCAUGUGCCAGCUGCACAUGAACAAUGAGAAACCUCAGACCAAACUGCUCGUCCUUCACCAGGCCGUAAACGUUAUUCUCAACCUGGAGCAGCAAGUGCGAGAGCGUAAUCUGAACCCGAAGGCGGCGUGUCUGAAGAGGAGAGAGGAGGAGAAGGUCUCAGGAGACUGUCUGGGAGGAGACGGACACGCACAUAUCUAACGCUCAGAUCCUGACAUAAGGAAGCUCUCCGUCGACGUGGCCUUAUCUUCCCGUUCUUAGUCCACACACACACACACACACACACACACACACACACACAUUGGUGAUUUCUAUAUGAUAAACAGAUGUGUUGAAGACUCACACACACACACAGUAACUUCCCGAGCUGCUCGUUCGGCUCGUGAUCAUGGACCAUCGGUGGAAAUCAGCGUCUGCGGGUCUGGACCGUCCUGCUGUCUGAUGCUGUGCCGUUAGAUUUACAGUGUGCUGUUAUAUAGCACACACACCCAUGAGCCUUUGUAUUCAACGCAAGGUCAAGCUCCGCUGCGGGAACAGAUUCCUUUUUUUGUUUUUUUUGUAGUUCAUGUAUUCAAGUUUGGCUUUCUUUUGUACCGUUUUGUGUUUAUGAUGUAGAGAGAAAUGUUCAGUUUUGAUACGCAGUGUUUAUGGUUCUGUUUGGGGAUCGCCACUAAUGCAUGAAUCCCACAAAACUGCCCAUAUUUCACCUCUAAAAACUAAAGAAAUUAUAUGAAAUUCAUUUUCUUAAGGGAAAUUAAGCCUGUUUUAAUGGAACAUUAUGAUUUUUCAUUUUUAUGACCAACACAUUUGCCUCAAAUUCUCAUUAUUAUAAUGCAA